rnacentral:rRNA from 1 species
CCUGCGGGGGGCAGCAGUGGGGAAUAUUGGACAAUGUGCGAAAGCCUGAUCCAGCCAUGCCGCGUGUGUGAAGAAGGCCUUCGGGUUGUAAAGCACUUUCAGUGGGGAAGAAAGCCUUGGGGCUAAUACCCUCGAGGAAGGACAUCACCCACAGAAGAAGCACCGGCUAACUCCGUGCCAGCAGCCGCGGUAAUACGGAGGGUGCGAGCGUUAAUCGGAAUUACUGGGCGUAAAGCGCGCGUAGGCGGUCUGAUAAGCCGGUUGUGAAAGCCCCGGGCUCAACCUGGGAACGGCAUCCGGAACUGUCAGGCUAGAGUGCAGGAGAGGAAGGUAGAAUUCCCGGUGUAGCGGUGAAAUGCGUAGAGAUCGGGAGGAAUACCAGUGGCGAAGGCGGCCUUCUGGACUGACACUGACGCUGAGGUGCGAAAGCGUGGGUAGCAAACAGGAUUAGAUACCCCAGUAGUC